GGGGGGCAGUUGUGUUGAGGUGGUGGUCUUGGUGGUUGCUCGUGGUCUCCAGGAGUCCUGUGUCUGUGCUGGUGGCCCUGGAAAAGCCUUCCUGACUCAAACCUGGACACACUAAUGGAGGAGGUGAUGCUCUGAUGGAAGUUUUCAACAUCUGCUUGCUGAGUGAUAACUGGCUUGGUUUCCUGAUCUCCUCUUGUCAGUGCAGGUUUGGAUGUAGCCAGCUGUUAAAAUGUCAGAUGGUAAAAACAACCAAGAGUUCCAGAUGGGGCAAUUGGAAGAGAAACAUGCUGAAGAUGAUAAUAAGAAAGUUCUGGAUUCUCUCAAUUGGGAAUCCCAUGUCCUCACCUGUGACUUCCAAAUGCAGUCACUAUUCAAGUCUUGUGCAAAGCAGCACGCCGUGAGGAAGUUCUUCAUUAUCAGGCGUUCCCUCAUUUGGCCAGGAGCGUUCGACCAAACCAUAGUAGGUCUGUGUCAUGAGGAGUUCAGAGGAAACAUCACAGAGCUCUUUGCUGUUGAGUGGGAGGUCAUGAGGAGUUUGGAGUCUGGCCGUGGUGCAGAUAUGUACGAUGGGUUGGUGGAAAGAAGACAAGCCUGUGAGAGAUGCAACGUGGUGAUGCAUUUGAGGAAGUGGACCCAUCUAGAUCUUGACAAAGGGUUCUGAAAACCUCCUUGACUCUUCACUUUCAACAUCUGGCAUGAACAGUCCAAACCACUCAGUGCUUCUACUGCAGAUACUUUUGGCAAAUGAAGGCUGAGUUCCUGUUUUGAUUUUCAGGACUGACUAAAUGACAAGAAGGAGCAAGUUGUACUGAUCAUGGCCUCCUACCUACUGGUCUGCAAAUGGGGCUACACCAUGCUGAGCUGCUUCUGAGCACAGCAAUUCUACUGAUGCUGACCACCAUUGACUAUGUUAGCUGCUUCAUUAUCCCAGGAAUGUAUCUGGAGAAGUGAGUACCAGGAUGGAACUGUGGCAGUAAGAGGGGAACUCCCUUGGCUGAGUGUACAGCUCUUUGGCCUCUGUCAUUGACUGCAGCUUCCUCCAAUUUGACU